ensembl:lincRNA Gm14426 predicted gene 14426
GAAAAUGCCCUCAACCACAUUGUAGUGUCCAACCAGCUACUCAGGGCUAGAGUAGGAGUCAAGUCAUUAGCUACAAUGAACAGAGGAGGAGGAAGAGGCUGGAAGGUCAUUUAGUAUGCUCAGUUCAGGUCUACAUUGCGCUUCCCACAUUGUGGUUGACGUACUGCAAGACCCUGAGUGAUUCACUUAAUCUUUCUGAACUUAAUUUUCAUCAAUGAAACAGUCAAUAAAGAUAUCUACCUCAUAGGU